CUGAGAUCUCGCCAUGUGUCCACGAAUCUCGCGAGAUGUAAGGCAAAGUCCCAUGCAGUGGUUCGAGAUCUGGAUCUGAUUCCCCAAGCCGUGUGGAUCUGUCUAACUCAUGAACUUCUUCUCCAAGGUGACACACAAUCAGGCUCCUGCUGUGGCAGUGGACACGGAGACGCCUUUAGACUGGACUACAUAUGAUGGAUGUGACCCAAAUAGAGCUACCGUCAGGUGACACACAAUCAGGCUCCUGCUGUGGCAGUGGACACGGAGACGCCUUUAGACUGGACUAGCUAUGAUGGAUGUGACCCAAAUAGAGCUACAGUCAGGUGACACACAAUCAGGCUCCUGCUGUGGCAGUGGACAUGGAGACGCCUUUAGACUGGACUACCUCUGAUGGAUGUGACCCAAAUAGAGCUACAGUCAGGUGACACACAAUCAGGCUCCUGCUGUGGCAGUGGACACGGAGACGCCUUUAGACUGGACUAGCUAUGAUGGAUGUGACCCAAAUAGAGCUACAGUCAGGUGACCAACAAUCAGGCUGCUGCUGUCGCAGUGGACAACUCUUCAGAUAUGACUUCCUUGGUGAAUGUCUCUCAAAUGCAGCUACAGACCAGGUGGUCAACAAUCAGGCUCCUGCUGUCGCAGUGGACAACUCUUCAGAUAUGACUUCCCUUGGCGAAUGUCUCUCAAAUGCAGCUACAGACCAGAGAAACCCACUGCUGUAAA